UUUCCACAUGAAUAGACUCUCCCUUAGCUGAGAAAGCCGGAAGAACUCCAUUUGGCUCCUUCAUUUACAAGACAUCAAGGACUCCUUACUCACCGCCUUCCUCAAGGAGUUACUUGUGUAAGCUGACUCUCAACAUAUCAAAGAGUCCAAUUCACUGAUGAGGUACUGAAGCAAGCAGUGUACGAAGUUCCCAGGAUUUCGCUCAGAAGCCAAACUCCCUUGCCACCGGAAGUGACCAUUCGACAUUUUUAUGCCAAUGAGAUGAAUGCCAAGGAAGCUUUGAGGAACUUUCCUGAUAAAAGAGAGAUGAGUCCAGUCUUCUUCCUUCGAAUGCCAGUGUGAUGACAGCCUGGGAAGGCUUCCUGAGACCUGAGGGAAAAGCUUGAGAAUCGUGGAGACGCCAUCACUGAUGUUAUAGAGCUGCUACACCAAGACUGGCAAGGAUUUACCGGACACUUUUUGUUAUGGGGGGG